AUUUUCUUCUUUCUCUCUCUCUUUCACGAUGCUUUCCGUUACUUCGGCGAGGAUAUUCGACGAUUUGUGUUCAAUCAGAAGGAUUCGUCGUCAGCUCAAAUAUCGGUCUAUGAAGGAGAAGACUUACAAUAUGCCUCUGAACAAAAUCCAAUCUUACGUUGUUCAGCCUAGAGUGGAGCAAGCAACGGCUUGAUUGGUAUGUGAAUUUUCAUGAUCUGCUCCAAGCUGUGUCUAUUGACUUCUCUCCAAACGAAAGGACAAAAGAUGUAGAUACCACUACUAAGAGUGAUUUCAAAAGUGAAGUGGUUCAACGAUAUCGACACCCUCUUGAGGAUCUCUAAGCUCCAUUGAUUUCUAUUCUUUACCAAUUAAAGUUUUUGCCGUUUAAAUUUGGCUAACAUUGUUUUCUUAUAACUUGUCUCUGUUUACAAGGAAGCAUAGGAGAAGAAGAAAGCAGAGUAUGCACAGAGGAUGAAGAAUAAGGCUGCAACGUUUCACAAGGAAGCAGAAGAGAGAAGACAUUGAUGACUCAAGACUUGGUGACUGAAGAAAACUUUGUAUAUGCUUUGAUCAAAUUUGUAAAGUUUAGUCAUAGAGGAAACCAAUUGUGAAGCAGUUUUAUGAUAAAGGAAACCUAUUGUAAACUUUGUGUAUGUCUUUAUUCCAAAUUCCGAUUGUGAAACAAGAUUAAAA
rnacentral:misc_RNA from 1 species